rnacentral:rRNA from 1 species
GGGGGGGGCAAGCGUUGUUCGGAAUUACUGGGCGUAAAGGGCUCGUAGGCGGCCAACUAAGUCAGACGUGAAAUCCCUCGGCUUAACCGGGGAACUGCGUCUGAUACUGGAUGGCUAGAGAUUGGGAGAGGGAUGCGGAAUUCCAGGUGUAGCGGUGAAAUGCGUAGAUAUCUGGAGGAACACCGGUGGCGAAGGCGGCAUCCUGGACCAACACUGACGCUGAGGAGCGAAAGCCAGGGGAGCAAACGGGAUUAGAUACCCCGGUAGUCCUGGCCCUAAACGAUGAAUGCUUGGUGUGGCGGGUAUCGAUCCCUGCCGUGCCGAAGCUAACGCAUUAAGCAUUCCGCCUGGGGAGUACGGUCGCAAGGCUG